rnacentral:rRNA from 1 species
UACGGUAGGCAGCGAGCGUUGUUCGGAGUUACUGGGCGUAAAGGGUGUGUAGGCGGUUCUUUAAGUUUGGAUGUGAAAUCUCCCGGCUCAACCGGGAGGGUGCGCCGAAUACUGAGGGACUCGAGUGCGGGAGAGGAAAGUGGAAUUCCUGGUGUAGCGGUGAAAUGCGUAGAUAUCAGGAGGAACACCGGUGGUGUAGACGGCUUUCUGGACCGUAACUGACGCUGAGACACGAAAGCGUGGGUAGCAAACAGG